AAGGUUUUUGUGCCUUUCUUUCUAUACAAUUGCUUCUUUGGCUUCUUUAGUCUAGCCUUGAUACUUUUUAUGUUUUAUUUUACCUCUUUGGAUGUGCCAUUCAACAUACCUUAUACUCUGCCUGUAUUAAAAUCUAUACACUCAAAUUCAAGGGCAAAUUUUACUAUCUACCCUUCUCAGCGUAUUUCAGCCAGAUAUCAUGAGACUUUCUUCUAGAACCCAUAUUUCUGCCAAGAACAGAAAUGGUCCAUCCAGACUUGAAUAUCUCAAAAAGCUAAUUCACGACUUUCAAGUCGAGAACACAAAUCAAGAAACCAAGGAAUGUAUAGUAGCACGUCUUGGUAAUUUUGCCUAUGAUCCAAGUAACUACGAAAUAUUUGCGAAACUGAAUAUUCCUGCACUUUUGCUAGACGUAAUCGAAGAAAAAAAACUACCCAAUAAACUACAACAUUUAGCCAUAGCUGGUCUCUGUAACUGCUGUUUGGGUAUCGCAAAUAGAAAAAAGUGAAAUAAGACAAAAGUAUAUAACUAGGUUCGUUUCUUGAUUACUGAUUUUCCUUUCACCUUUCUCUUGCAGAUCCAAGACUUGCAAAUAUUAUAGUUAAAGAAGAUGGAAUUGAUAUACUAUUUCAAGUGCUGAAUACAAAUUUUGAAAAGUGGAUAGGCCAAGAUUCUGGUAGAAGCGAAAAAGCAGCACUUUCUAUUGUUUUAAAUAACAUACUUUACAUUUUUUAUUUCCUUUCCCAUAAACGGGAUUAUCGAUCGAGUAAGUCCGUAGCAUCACGUAUUUAUUUCAAAAGCACAGCGCUAUCAAAAAACAGAUAUAUGACGACAAAAACUACCCUGCAUUACAUUACUAAAAUUUUUUUAACUGUUAUCAGCAGAAAUUUUUACCGAGUCAUUCAAAAAUCUUUUAUUAAUGUUGUACAAUACAACUGAUAUACAGGUUCGCAAUGUAGUCUGCAUACUCUUAUAUGAAUUUGGUAAAGUAUAAAGAGCAGCAUAUGGGAUACUCCUCUAACCGACUAAAUAAAUUUUUCAUCCCAGUAUAAUAGCAUGUGAAUCUUCGCAUCUAAUUUUUAGAAUGCAAAGAAGAAGCAUCCUGUAGCAUUGAAAGUAGAGAAACUAUAUGCUAUAACAUGACUAAAUAUUUUAUUGAUGUUCUAACCAUGUAUUGAGCAUUUUUUGUCAAUCUAUUUGAAAAGUCAUAUUCCUGGUAUAACUGGCUUUGUGUAAAUCUAUCCUCACCUUAAAACACAUAUACAUAUGGGAUUUAUUCUUCGCUAUAGGUAGCAUGAAGAUCCGACGUUUGUAUUUCAAUGUUUUC